UACGGAGGAUGCGAGCGUUAUCCGGAUUUAUUGGGUUUAAAGGGUGCGCAGGCGGCGAGUUAAGUCAGCGGUAAAAUUUCGGGGCUCAACCCCGUCGUGCCGUUGAAACUGGCGUUCUUGAGUGAGCGAGAAGUAUGCGGAAUGCGUGGUGUAGCGGUGAAAUGCUUAGAGAUCAUACAGAACACCGAUUGCGAAGGCAGCUUACCAAGCUACUUCUGACGUUGAGGCACGAAAGCGUGGGGAGCAAACAGG
rnacentral:rRNA from 1 species